CAUUGUGCACAAGAGCUCACGGAGGUUCAGGAAGCAACAGGCUCAAGGGGAUAACGCCCAGCAGGUGGAGGCCGGAGCCUUCCUAGCGAGCUCUGCCCCACAGAAAGCCAAGCAAGAUGCCUUCAUUCCGGGCUGUGGUCUCCAGAGGGACAGAGGCCGGCCACUAGCACCUGCGCCUCAAGUCUGCAGUCCCUGGAGGAGACGGGUGCAGAACUGCCUGUCGGGAUCCGUCACUGCUCUACUGAAGACCUAAGCAAAGAAUCCUAAAAUAUGAAUACCAAAACCAGUCGCGACGGACAUGGCCCACACCUGGAGACAGGCUCUGGGCCCAGAAGCCAGGUUUUCAAAGCUGCCCAGGCACUCGGGAAGUCAGGUCAGAAAACAGUACCUUCCAAAGUCAAGCGCCCAGACACCCAUGGCAACACAGACAGGCCCCCAGGCCCUGGGAACACAGACAGGCCCUGGGAACCCGGCGCUUUUCCCAUCGCCAUCCACCUGGAGGAGAGCUGCCAGCGCAGUCCUGCCAGCAUCUGCAAGAAGGCGGCUGCUCCAGAAACCCCAGGCCCCUUUCCUCUAAUCCCCUCCACGCAGGAACAUCAAGAGCCACCCAUCCUGUGGUGGGAGCAUGGGCUGGGGUCUCCUCCUCCUCCAGGCCAGGGCAAAGCUUCAACCCCCAGCCAAGAGGGUCCCAGCUCCCCAGGGCCCAGAGCCGCAGCUGGACUCGCAGGCUCCCCGGCGAGCGCUGAAAAAGAAAUGGCCUCAGCAUCACUGGUGGUUGUCACCACUGGGGUCGGGGAAGCCCAGGGACGCUGCUCAACAUCCUACAAUGCAAAGAACGGCCCACCAGACAACAAUCUGGCCCCCAAUGUCCCUAGCGGCAACCAUCCCUCCAGCAAGCUCCACAGCUGCCACUCUAGGCCAGGCAGGUGGCCCCAUUGGUCCAACUGCCCAUCUGCCACCUGCUGGUAAAAUCACCCCCAGGUCCUCAUACGCCCCGGCCAGGCCUGGGAAACCAAAAGAAAAUACUGCCGGCUGUGGGGGUUCUCCCCCAGAGUCCGUUCCUUCCUGGACGCAGCUCACUGCGGAUAAAAAGUCGCACCGAGGACAGCACACACUGUCAGGUCUCUGAAGUGGUCAGAUGGCACCUUCACUGCCCCACGGAAACCCGGUUGUCACCCACCCACCAGGAGGCAGUGCAGGACGCAGCCAGUGGGAGUUCCCAACCCUCCUGCGAGGCCAGAGAUGAAAACAAGCCACCCUCUGCAGCGAGGCGCCGUUGUUGGCCUCCUGCUCCCUUCUCACCUGACUCAGCGGCCUCAGAGUUUCCCAGGAGAGCCGGCAAGCCCUGCCAGAUCAGUAGGAUCCUGGGGCUCAGCUGCCUACGGGGGGAGGGGAGGCCGUCACCCUCACCAGACAGCCAGGCCUGCCUCAGGCCCAUCCUUGGAAGGUUUCAAGUUCCCUCCUUCUGUUCCCAGCCCACAGAGGCUGGCAGCAGAAACGGCUGAGGAGGCAGGCAGGGCCCCGGCCCACCCACAUCCAGCCCAGCACCCCCAGUCACCAACCACACGCACACAGGUGAGUGGCCUCCCAACGCUGGGCCUCGGUUUCCUCAUCUGUCAACCGGGAAGAGCCAUUCCCACUGCUGUUUGGGGGUCACAGGCAAAGUCCGCCCAGUACUGAUGUGGCAGUGGCCAAGUCCAGACGUAGGCACCCCAGGGCCCAUGUGGGGGGCCGCAUCUGAAGAGCCAGGAGGAGGAGGAUCCCUGCCCGACCCGACUCUGCUGGAAGGCUCACGAGAUAGUGGGUACACGGCGGGUGGGCUUCAGGGCUCCCCAUGUACCUGGAGCUGCUCCCUGAGCGCCUCUACCCAGGACCCCUGCCCUCUACAGAUGCAGUUCUGCAGAGUCGCCUGGACCCCCAGCUGGGACGCCGCCAAUGGCCCCAUCCAGAACCACUGGCACUGGGCUGCCAGAUCCUGAACCCGACUGCAGGACCCCUGAGGGCAGGAGCUGUGUACCCCGCACGCCUGCCCCGCACACACGCCUGCCCCGCACACACGCCUGCCCCGCACACACGUCUGCCCCGCACACACGUCUGCCCCGCACACAUGUCUGCACCCACUUUGCAGUAUAGGAUGGCCCCUUCCCCAGGCCCAGGACUGUCCUGCUGGGGCCUGAGUUGGCCUGUGGCGCAGCACCAGCAUCCCCUCAACGCAGCGCCCUCAGCCUCUGCCUUCCUGGAGGAAGCAUCAUCUGGGAGGGCAUUCCUGCCAGAGCCACGAAGCCCUGGGCUGAGGCCCACUGUACCUCUGGAGAGCCCUCGGCUUCCCUGCAAUCCUCCCCGUAAGGGUUCCCUCUCCUGGAAAACGUCAUCCUGCCUCUCAGUAGGGCACAGACACUGUGAGAUGCCGCAGGGAGAGCGGGGCAGUGGGCAGGGGCCUGGGCUCUGAGGUCAGAUUGGAGGAAGGUGGGAUCUAGCCCUGCCCACUCCACAGAGACAACCAACACCCUCCCCUACCAACAGGCUGCAGCCAAGGCCCAGGCAGCAGACAGCGGCCACUGUGAGGAGAGUAACGCUCAUUUACAACUCUCAAGGCUGGGAUAGAACUUGCCCCUCUAGGCCGGGGCUGCAUGUCCCUGCAUCCCAGGGCUACGCGGUGCCCGCCAUAAGGGCUGCUGGACCAUCCCUCCAAGCCACCCUGGGCAGGUCCAGCUGGCUCUCAAAUGGCUGAGCGGCCCAGCACGGUGCUUCACGCCUGUCGUCCCACCACUUCGGGAGGCUGAGGAGAGAGGAUUGCUUGAGUCCAGGAGCUCAAGACCAGAGUGGGCAAUAAAGUAAGACACCGUCUCGGCAAAAAUUUUACACAUUAGUGAGGUGUGAUGUCACAUGCCUGUGGUCUCAGCUACUCAGGAGGCUGAGCCAGGUGGAGCCCUUGAGUCGAGCUGCAGUGAGU